GUGAAUCAUCGAAUCUUUGAACGCAAAUUGCACUCUCUGGCAUUCCGGAGAGUAUGCCUGUUUGAGGGUCAGUUUUAAUAAAAAUCGGUGUGGUUGCUGCCUUCAGUUGUGUUGCAUAGGUUCUUGGUCGCGUUGGCUUCGCUUACGUGAUGUACAAUUUUCCAUGACUUUUUAGAAGGUAUUUAAAUGAUAUUACGCACGUUUGUGAUAUCGAUUACUAGGUGUGGUCAUGCUCAUGAUUUGCGUCUAUAAUUUUUCA
rnacentral:misc_RNA from 1 species